rnacentral:tRNA from 1 species
GGAUUUAGCUCAGCGGUAGAGCGCUUGCCUAGCAAGCGCAAGGCCCUGGGUUCGAUCCCCAGCUCCG